rnacentral:lncRNA from 1 species
AGCCUUCGCCUUUUAGAGAGUAUAUUUCGGUAAUAAACAUACCUAUAUUCUCGCUCGGAGAAUACAUUCCAUUUGCAAUUGUCAUAAUAAUAUAUGUAGCAAUGAGUAUUUUCUUUAGGGAGGAUGAGUAUCUUGUUAACAUGCAACACACAGUAAUACCCUCAUGGUAUCAACGGGAAGGAUAUAUCAAAGCGAUGGCAGAUUUGAUGGAAAAAGAGCUGAAAAGUUUUGAACGUCCUGGGGAGGUAGUAUCAUCUCUAUUUUUCACUGGCUCAUGCUAUACUUACCUCGUGAAAAGAGUGUUCGUUUUCCUUAAAAAGUCCCCAUCUUUCCUUAUAGUAUUGAUAUACACGAGGCAGCAAAGUAUUUGUGCUUUUGUAUUUUUGCUUUGAUUACUUAAAAGUAGAAAAAAUCUUGCAAAGUAUUUUGUUUAUAACUACAUCUGGCUGCCUUAACAGUUUUGCUUUCUUCUGUAAUAAAUGCUUACAGAUUUUUGCCAUGAUAUUGUGAUACUCUUGAUUUAGUGUAUCAUUGUCCCUGAAGUCUUUUGCUUGGAGAUCUUCUCUUGAAGCUAUAUCGAGUUGGUUAUGGCAGAAAAAAAGUGUCAUGGAAAGAUCUCUGUGCGGUUGAAGAGAUUAAGGAUAAAAAACAAAAAGGAAAAUGGUGGCACUCUAGACCAAAUAUUUCUCUAGAUUUGACGGCAUUCUGUUCCUGCUCCCCAACAUGUCUUAUUUAUGAAAUAAUGUCUGAUAUCUUAUAAUAAAAUAAAAGCAGGGUCUUCUAAAGUAGUAUGAUAUCCCUCUAUGCUUACUUCUUUCCUUCCUUAUUAACUAGCUUCAUAUACACAGGUGAUGAUAUUCUUCAGUGCUCAUGGGGUACCACUUGCAUAUGUAGAGGAAGCAGGUGAUCCAUACAAGGCUGAAAUGGAGGAAUGUGUGGACUUAAUAAUGGAAGAACUUGAGAAGAGAAGGGUAUAUAACGCAUAUACUUUGGCCUAUCAGGUACGUUUGCAGAUCUAUUAGCAUACUUAAAUUUUAUGAUUAAUAAUAUUAAAACUUCCUUGCAUAGGCAACAUUGUCUAUGUUUAUGCAUUAAAUCAUUCUUGAAAUGAAGACUCUAGUUGAUUGCACAUUUUGUUUUUGGGCUCAUAAUUCAAUCAUGUAUAAGAAAGCUCUGAGUUCAGUUGGUGCACAAUUAAAGACAACUAUUCCAUCCCUCUCCCUCACUACUUGAAUGUGGUGUUUUCUAUGAGCAAGAUUCCCAUGUACCAGUUCCCCAACCCUAUUUGCUUUUCAAAUAUGGAAGUGAUAAUGUAUCACUGCAUUACAAGCAUGGUUUGCAAAUAUUUCUUCAUUGCGCUCUUCAAUAUUGAAAGUUCAUAAGACAACUAAAUUAUAUGGUAAACUCGAGGCUAACAUAUUAAAGCACUCCAGCUUACUUUGAAAAGGUGGUACGUGCAUAACUAUUGUUAGGAAGGUGAAAGAGCUUUUUUUUCUUUUGUCCACGCUUUUUCAACAGCAAUAGGUGAGGGGACUAAUCGCUAUCUAGUGAAGUAUUACAAUGUACCACAUGAACUUACUAGUUGCUGACAAGGUAAAAAGUAAGUUUAAUAAUCAGAAUAGUUGCAUUACAAAUAUUGUUAGCUAAUAUGGAGCGUGAGACACGAGUACUGAACACUUUCAUGUUAUAAGCAUAUGUAUGAAAGGUACUGUAGCCUUUCAUUGAUGUCAGUUUUGUGAACUUGGAGGGGCUCUAUUCAAUGUUGUGUUAUCUGUCCCCAUUGAAAAAAAAAAAGAAUAUUUGGUGCUUCUCUUAUUACUUGAUUAAUACCUUUUUAAGGGUAAGAUGGUGCUUGUUUAUGAUGCUAUUGUCAAGUGAUACACUAUUAGAUUAGACAGAUAGAUGAUUGCUCAUUUGCUAGCACAUAACAUAUAGCUUUUAUAACAUUUCUUCUCCUACUUGCUUGGGCGAUGGAGUCCGUGGUCAAGUAAUGUUCAUCCUAUCUGCCACUGUAAGUUAUUUUCUUGGAGGAACACAAAGAAAAUCUUCACUGGUGGCAUUUCAAAUACAUGGCUUCCUGACUGAUGUGCUUUACUGUGAUUCUGUAUGCAUCGAGAUGCACCUUUUUUCCCCCACUUAGACUGUCAUGAUUGAGUUUUGUAAAUACCGUUUAGUUGGCCAUUCCAUGAAGUUAUUUUGCUCUGAUGCAGAGUAGGGUUGGACCUGUUGAAUGGCUGAAACCAUAUACUGAUGAGACAAUAAUUGAGCUUGGGAAGAAAGGGGUUAAGAGUAUUCUUGCCGUGCCAAUAAGGUAAGCAAAGUUGGCUUUUUUGGCAGUAUAAUUGAUGAUGCUUAGUCUCUUCAUUUUCAUGUUAAUUGCUAGUAUUUUUUAAUUUUAAAUGCUAUCACAGUUUUGUAAGUGAGCAUAUUGAGACAUUAGAGGAAAUUGAUGUUGAAUACAAGGAGCUAGCAUUGGAGUCUGGAAUACAGAAUUGGGCACGUGUUCCUGCCCUAGGUGUUGAACCCACUUUCAUCUCAGAUUUGGCAGAUGCAGUGAUUGAAAGUCUUCCAUAUGUUGGAGCAAUGGCAGUCUCAAAUCUUGAAGCUCGUCAGGUGCCUUUUAACUCCAAAGCUGUGAUUAAGAAAUUAUUAAGAUUUCUGAUACCGCAGGGAUUAUGUUUUUUUUUUUAUAACUCAAUUCCUAAACCAAGAUGGAAUCCAAUACAUGAACAAGAACAGGAACAGUGAAUGAAAUAAAGAACAAGAAGAAAUCAAGAUAAAGAACCAAAGGAAGAAACACAAGACCCAGAAAACAAUGAAUAAAAUACACAAGAAACACGGAAUCAGAUUCCGAGAUAUUUCAAGAUCUAGCAAGAAACAUCAAGAAAAGGGAUCUUGACCCUAAAUUGAGAAAUUAAUGGCAAUGAAGUGUAUAAAAACACGACGACUCCAAUAAAUUACCAAUUAAAAACCUAAGAUUUCAAGAAACAAGAAGGAAACCAGAUUACCUCAAGGAUAAUCACUCACUUUUUUUUUUUAGUAAAUCCACUAGGCAAGGUGCCUAGGGCUAGUUUUUAUAUAUAUUUAAAAUAAAACAAAAACAAGUGUCAUGGAGUCUUACAUAGUGAAAUAAAUCAGAGAUGAAGGCUACAUAGCUCCUAUUAUCAAAAUUGAGUAUAGUACUCAAUGAUGAUAGUACAAUUCAAACUAGGGAAAAAUUAUUCCAUGAAAACAUAACUAUCCAAUUGAACCUAAAGAUCUCCAAUUUGCCUCCUGCCUGUGACCCAUGUGGCCAUAACAAUGUUCCUCGAUCCAGUUGGUUCUCAUAAUAAGUAGAAUACUCACAAACACAUGGCAUUACAACAAACAGUGCAAAACCAUGCACAAUAAUAUCAUCGAGAGCUGUCCGCAAUUGUGCAUUAUACAUGAACAUGCAUAUUUUCAUUGACAUUUGCGCGUGUGAUCCUUGCAUGACUCCAUGAAAACCUAGCAUAUCCAGCAUCCUCAAGCAUUCUAUAUAGCAUUGGUGAUUGGUAAUUCUUUCCAAAUGAACCUAAACUGACCGCAAAAUCCUCCACAAAACCAUGCCCUAAAAUGGCAUUUCUGGGCAGUGUUUGGUUUAUCCGGGCAAAGUCACUCCUUGCGAGCUGGCUCCUGUGAUUGUUUCCUGUUUUAGGCAAUAUGAAUAAGUCAGCUAUACAUAGGCCGUACCACAUUGAGGUCCAGAUUUUGUUGUCAUAUGGCCUGCCCAGAGAUUUGACAAAACUGGGCAGUGUUGCUUGACAUUGGCCAGUAGCUGGUUCCUUCCAUUGAGCUUUGGCAUUCUUGUUAAAUCUCCACAUCCUCAGGUGCAUACUAGGGUUGUAAAUGGCAUUCAACACAUACUGGAUCAUGAAAGUCCAAUUAACAGUUCCAAACUCUAGUGUAAUAGCUUGCAUUAUUUCGUCCAUGCUUGUGCCUACCCUUGCUUCCCCUCCACUGGAAUGAGUACCAAGUACUAAUACCACCAGUUGAAGGUUCUUCAAAGAGUAGGGCAUGAGUACAGUAAUUGCUCCUGCAAAAAUGAAAACCAUGUUAGUUAUGAAAAUGACCAUCAUACUCUCCUCUAUACGGAUUUGAGUAUGAUAGCAAGAAACUCCUCCUCCUCCUUUGGGAUUACUCCUCCAACCAGUGAUUAGCUCCAUCCCAAUUUACUCCUGGCAACCCUCACCCUAAGAUAUGGACAUUGCAUUUUAUCACUGUUCACCAGUUUUCUACCUUGUACCUCCAACUGGACAAAACUGUGAGCUUCAAAAUCUCCAUGAUCAAGAGCAUAAAUAGCUAGAUAGUCUGCCAGCUUAUUACCCUCUCAUAAUGUGUGAUAUCAAGCCAUUGCAUCUUCCCAUUACUUAUUUGAUUUCCUCAACAUAAGCAGCUACUGCCCAAGGUGCACUCCAUGUAUCUUCUAUAACAUUCUUCUGUCAAUAUAGAAUCUGUUUGCACUAAGAUGUUUGUGUAACCAUAACUUACACAAUACCUCAAUGCCUCAAGUAUAGCAAUUGCUUCUGCCUCAGUAUUAGUAACCUCCUGUAUUUCCUUUCUCCUUGCGUGUCUCACAUCACCUUCUCCAUCCCUUAAUACAAAUCCAAUCGAGCUCCUGCCUGGAUUUCCCCUUGAUGCCCCAUAACCUGGUAAAUCACUCUACUAAUAGUGACAUCAUCCCCAUGUUUGUAGCAAUUUCUUCUUUUUCACAGCUCCCAUAAGAUGAUGGAUGGUAAAGCUUGGAAAAUAGGUUUUAGUCCGAGUAUAACCUGAAUGGUCCAGCAUUUAACCACUGCCUGCUGUAAUGAUAGACCUUCCAUAGCUAUUCCUACAUUAGAAAGGAAAUAGUACCACACUGAAUGAGCUGCAUAGGACCUGAAAAACACAUGUGACAUUGUUUCCUCCUCCGGAUUGAUGCAACACCAACAUCUAGAUGGCAUAAAGUAGCCUAGUCUCCUGAAGUAGUCAUCUAAUGGUAAUUUGCCUUUCCAUACCUUCCACAUGAAGAGAGCAAUCUUAAAAGGUAGUCCUUUCACCCGCAUGUUCUUGUAUGCAAUACUAGAAUUUCUUCUUCUCCUAAGAUACUCCCAGGCAGAUUUAACAGAAAAGUUGCCUCUAGGUUCCAACAUCCAAUAAGGUCUAUCAAGAUCAUUAUGUUGUGUAGGAGGAGUAAUGUUCUCAAUAACAUGCAGUGCUAGGUCUUGAGGUAGAAUCUCCAGUAGCCUAUCUUCAUCCCACGUAUCUUCCACAAUCACAUCAUAUACAUUGUGGAUAGAUUUGCCAAUACAUUUGCUAUCAACUCCCAAAGAAAUCCGGAGGUGUAAUGAAAUACAAAGCUCCCAAACCUGUCCAAUUAUCAAACCAAAAUAGCGAGGAACCCAUCCUUGGCUGCCAAAUGAUUUGGUGUUCAAUUGCAUCUCUACAUUGAAGCAUCUUCCUCCACACAUGUGAUUCAUUCUUCCAUGGUACCACCAUUGCAUUCAACUUUUUACAAUAUUUUUGACUCAUGAAAGAACUCCAUAGUGUAGGUUUAGUGCGAAAAUUCCACCACAGUUUACAAAACAAAGCCUUUGAAACAUCAUGCAGCGAUCUAAACCGUACUCCUCCUUCCUCAGUUGGUAAACAUAAUGUAUCCCAUGAUACCCAAUGCAUACCCUUUUCUCCAACUGAAUUACUCCAAAAAAAUUGUGCAAACAUUUUGUGUAACUUGUUAAUAACACCGGCUGGAGGGUUCACUGCUGAUAGCAAAUGUAUUGGCAUACUUUGAAGAACAUGAGAAAUAAGUACUGCCCGACCACCUACAGAGAGAAGUUUACCUUUCUAUGAUUGAAGCUUGUCAAGUACUUAGACCAUGAUAAUAAUCCAUUCUUCUUCUUGCAUAGAAGAUAGGGCAGCCUAGAUAAGUAAAAGGGAAGUCUUGCCUCCCAAUUCCAGUAAUCCUUUCCGCCUUGUUGACCACCUCCAUGCUUGUUGAAUGAUGCAUAUAGACUGCUGACUUUGCCUUGUUGAUUAAUUGUCCAGAAGCCACUUUAUAAGCACUCAACACCUCCAUGAUCAAUUGUAAUGAAGUUGCUUCCGAUGAAGAGAAAAUAAUGGUAUCAUCAGCAUAAGCUAGAUGAUUAAUCUUUGGACCCCAUUUUGGGAAACCAAAUCCACAAAAGUAUAGAUUCCAAUGUAAAGCAUUCAAUCCCCUUGACAUAGCUUCAGCCGCAAGAAUGAGUAAUGUAGGUGAUAAGGGAUCACCUUGCUUGCCUCCUCUAGAAGAUUUGAAGAAACCAUAGGGCUGUCCAUUGAUCAACACUGAAUACCAAUUGCUUGAAACUAUGCCAAACACAAUACCAAUGAAUCUAUCACAGAAACCCAUCUUCCUCAAGACCUUAGUCAUGAAUAGCCAUGAAAGCCUAUCAUAAGCUUUAGUCAUGUCUAAUUUGAUCACAACAUUUGGUCCCGCCUUAGUCCUUAACCUAAUGUCAUUAAUUAUUUCUUGAGUCAACAAAACAUUUUCAACAAUACUCCUCCCCUUAACAAACCCAACUUGCUCAUCAGAAAUAAGGGAAGGCAAAAGUUUGACAAGUCUUUCAUGAAUUACCCUAGAGAAUACCUUAUUGAUAAAGUUGCUAAGGCUUAUAGGUCUCAUGUCUGAGAAAGUAUUUACCUCCUUAGGCAAUAAUACUAAAUUUGUGUGAGUCACAAACUUUGGUAGCUCCUGGCCAUUGAAAAAGCUCUUCACCAUGACAAAAACAUCAUCUUCUAUAAUCUCCCAGCAACUAUGAAAGAACUUACCAAUGAAACCAUCAGGUCCUCCACUGUCUCCAUUUAACCCAAAUACAACAUGCUUGACUUCUUCUUUUGUAGGUUGUUUUGCAAUAUCUUCAUUCUGCUCCAUGGAUACCAUGUUAGGCACAUGGUCAAUAAUCCCAAACGUAGUAGGGACAGUUUGUUCACGAAACUAUGCUUGAAACAAAUUCACUGCCUCUUCUGCCAAGUCGUCAUUACCCUCAAUCCAGCCGCCUUGAUCAUUUUGAAUCCUUUUCAAUUGUAAACGCCUUCUUCUACCAUUAACUUGAACGUGAAAAAAUCUUGUAUUGCGAUCACCCUCCUUGAACCAUGCCAUUCCUGAUUUUUGUUUCCAGAAUUCUUCCUGUAUAGCCAAAUAUCGAAUGAGCUCAGAUUGUACCUUUUGCAGCCUUUCCCUGUUAAGUCGAGUAGGGUUGAGCUCAAAUUGAGCCUCAUGUACCAAUACUACCUCCUCUAGACUAGCAAUUUUCUGGAAUAUAUCACCAUAAGUGGCCUUGCUCCACAAUGAAAGUGCUCUCUUCAACUUCUUUAGCUUGUGAUUGAAUAGAAUGAAUGGGUUUGCACUAAAAUCAAACUGCCAGUUUUCCUUCACAACAUCUAAAAAAGUAGCAUGAUUUGUCCAGAAAUUAAGAAAUCUGAACUGCUUCACCGGAACAAAGUUUGGAUCACAAGUAAUUAGCAAAGGAGAGUGAUCAAGAUCCAAUUUUUGAAAGAUGAGUGAUCUCAACACCUGGAAUAGUUGCUGAAACUCCAGAUUAGCUAGAACCCUAUCUAGCUUUUUAAAAAUGCAAUCCUCCUCCGCUCUACCAUUCCAUAUUCCACCAAGUUAAGAUACUUACUUUGAGGCCCAAGUCAUGUAGGUUGCAAGUAUUGAUGCAAUGUCUAAAAUCAUCCACUUCAGUUAAUGAAAUUGGCAGUCCUCCAAACUUCUCUUUCUCAUCCCAUAUCACGUUGAAGUCUCCUCCAACUAUCCGUGGGGCUGACAUAUCACUAGCUAGAGCAUACAAAGUGUCCCAUAGUUCUAUUUUCUUGAUGGCAUCACAUUUGGCAUACACUAAUGUUAGAAUGAGAGUUCCUUCUGGGAAUUGAUAUCAGCAACUUUAAAGUGAGCUAUAGAGUUUUUCAGGAGCCAUUAGGGUUUCUUAAGUCUCAUUACAGGGAACGCCUUUAGUCAUUCAAAAACUUCAUAAUCUUCUGCCCUUCACGUUUUAGAGGCUACUUAUAACAUAGGAAAAGCCUAGGCCUUUCUGAAUUUGGCCCACAGGCCUAAACUAGUGAAAUCAGCCGACAAAAUUUAAAAUAAACUUAAAGUGGCAUGUGAAAAACAUGUGCCACUUAUUAAUUAAGUGUAAUAAAUAAAACUAAGUAUAAAAACAUCCAAAUAAGGUAAUGUUUGUCUUGCUGAUGGUCCAAAAUCAACUAGGUAUGUUUGUCAUGCUGAUGAUCCAGCAUCAACUAGGCUAGCCGUGCAACUUGUAAAUGAGGCUUCUCCAAGCUGUUAAGUGUUGUUUCUUGUCUUCCUCUCUUCUAACUCCACAAGUUGGACUUCAAAUUUGUUGAAUACUUGUGGAAUCCCUCUAAAUCCUUCAACUCUUUCCCCAUUACUAGGCAUUUCUUGAUCUUCACUUUAAAGCCUUGGAGCAUCUCUUCAUGUUUUCUUGUUUGUGACCUUGUCAUUAGUCUUCUAGGAGUUCCAAGGACUGGUCCUUGGUUUCGGGUGUUGAUUGGCUUCCUUGGAUGCUAUCAAUUUCUGUUAUUGUAGAUGGAGCCAAUGGGCUGAAAUAUGGAAGCCCGAUGUGAAUUUGACACGACAUAGGAGAAGCAGCCGCCCUUUAUCAAAAUUAUAUUAUUAUAUUAUUUUUAAUAAUAAAAGGGGAAAGGUAGAUUAGCCCUUGAUUUCACCCUUUUUGAUUUGAAGCUACUUGCGCCCUAUUGUUUAUUGGUCCAAUUCUUUAUCUAAAGUGAAGGAAGGGCUUUUCCAAACGUCUGAUCAUCUACCAACGACAUAGGCACUAAGCAGUGUAACUUAGUCUGAUGGAAUGUGAAAAGGUCCAUCCCAGUCUCACAGCAAAUCAACAAAUUUUUACUCUGCUAUACAUUUCCCACUAGGCCGUUUCUUUCUACUUGAGCUAAAAGACAUGAAAGGAAAAAUGAUUUCUUAUUUUCUGCAGCUCUUACCAGUUAUUGUCCUCUUUUGGAAUAAGCUACACAUGUUUUAUUCAUUAACUAUUUUAUGAGAAUUUAUGCUUCGGUGUAGCUUUUCUUUUGGGUAGGAGCAAUGGUGGUUUCACACUUUAUUUCCCCCUUAUGAUGUAUAUUUUUGACAUCAUUGCUUUUCUAUUUUUUGAUAUGGUGUCCGAUUCAGCUUGCAUGCACCUUGACUAUUUCACCGGGUACUUGCUAUUUCCCACCAGCUCAGUUACAGGUAACUUUGUCCACUAAGACUUAGGCAAAUCGGAAGAGAUCACCUAGUGCUUGUGAGAGAAAUAAUAUACGGGAAAAUAUUCUAUUAUUGAUGUACUCUAACUAUAAUACAAGUACCCUUAUUUAUAACAAUACACAAUACUUACACUACUCCUAUUCAAUGUAGGACUAUACUUAUUUACAUAACAACUACUUCCUCUGUUUCAAUUUAGAUGACACUUUCCUUAUUAGUUCGUUUAAAAAAGAAUGACACAUUUCUACAAUUGAAAAUAAUUCAACUUUAAACUCUUUAUUUUACCCAUUUUACCCUUAAUGAGAAGCUUUUAUAAAUGUCAUGGCUCCACAAAGUUUUUACCCCUUAAGCUUUUAAGACCACAAGUUUCAAAAGUCUUAUUUUCUUUUCUUUAACUUCGUGCCAAGUCAAACUACCUCAUCUAAAUUGAAACGGAGGGAGUAGCUAACUAACACUCCCUCUCAAGCCGAUGCAUAUAAAUCAUAUGUACCGAGCUUGUUACAUAAUUAAAUAAUACGAGGACCGGUGAUGGACUUGGUGAAAAUAUCUGCAAGCUGAUCAUUCGAUUUCAUAAACUUUGUAGCAAUAUCUCCUGAGAGUAUCUUUUCUCUGACGAAGUGACAGUCAAUCUCAAUGUGUUUAGUUCUCUCAUGGAACACCGGAUUUUGAUGCAAUAUGAAGGGCAACUUGAUUAUCGCACACAAGUUCCAUGUGGUUGAUUUCACCAAAUUUCAACUCCUUGAGCAAUUGUUUGAUCCAAACUAGCUCACGUGUUGCCAUAGCCAUUGCUCGAUAUUCUGCUUCUGCACUAGAUCGAGCAGCUACAUUUUGUUUCUUGCUUUUCCAAGACACCAAAUUGCCUCUUACUAAAAUACAAUAUCCAGACGUAGAACGUCUAUUAGAAGGUGAUCCUGCCCAAUCAACAUCUGAGUAUCCAACAAUCUGCUCAUGGCCUCGAUCCUCAAACAAUAACCCUUUUCCUGGAGCCGAUUUUAUAUACCGAAGAAUGCGGACAGCUACAUCCCAAUGACUAUCACAGGGAGAAGCCAUAAACUGACUUACAACACUCACAUGAAAGGAAAUGUCAGGUCUAGUCACUGUAAGAUAAUUUAAUUUACCAACCAGCCGCCUAUAUCUUGCAGGAUUGCUAAAUGGCUCCUCCUGUCUUGGCAGAAGUUUAGAAUUCGGAUCCAUCGGAGUGUCAACAGGUCUACAGCCUGUCAUUCCUGUCUCCUCAAGAAUGUCUAAGGCAUACUUCUGUUGUGAGACAAUAGUUGAGCUAGACUGAUCGACCUCAAUACCCAGAAAAUACUUUAAUCUGCCCAAAUCCUUAGUCUGAAAGUGUUAAAAGAGAUGUUGUUUCAAUUUAAUAAUACCAUCCUGAUCAUUGCCGGUAAUAACAAUAUCGUCAACAUAAACCACCAGAUAAAUACAGAGAUUUGGAGCAGAAUGCCGAUAAAAUACGGAGUGAUCAGUUUCACUACGAGUCAUGCCAAACUCCUGAGUUACUGUGCUGAACUUACCAAACCAAGCUCGAGGAAACUGUUUCAAAUCAUAGAGUGACCUGCGCAAUCGGCAUACAAGACCACUAGACUCCCCUAAGCAACAAAACUAGGUGGUUGCUCCAUAUAAACUUCAUCCUCAAGGUCACCGUGAAGAAAAGUAUUCUUAUUUCCAGCUGAUAGAGAGGCCAAUGGCGAAUAACAACCAUGGAUAGAAAAAGGCGGACUGAUGCUAUUUUAGCCACGGGAGAGAAAGUAUCACUGUAAUCAAGCCCAAAUAUCUGAGUCUAUUCUUUGGCAACAAGACAGGCCUUAAGUCGAUCAACCUGGCCAUUUGGACCAACUUUGACUGCAUAAACCCAACGACAACCAACAAUAGAUUUUACCUGAAGGAAGAAUAACAAGCUCCCAAGUACCACUCAUAUGUAAAGCAGACAUCUCGUCAAUCAUAACCUGUUGUCAUCCUGGAUGAGACAACGCUUCACCCGUAGACUUAGGGAUGGAAACAAAGGACAAAGAAAUAAAAGUAUAAUGGGGUGAUGACAGACGAUGAUAACUUAAACCGACAUAAUGGGGAUUGGGAUUAAGUGGUCCGUAUACCUUUCCGAAGUGCAAUCGGUGUACUAGGAAGAGACAAGUCCGCAGUGGGAGUAGGGUCGGUCAGGUGUAGGACGUGAAUCAGCUGGGCCUGAUGCUGGGCGCGGACGACGACGAUAAGUCAAGAGUGGUGUUUCUGUAGCUGGGGAUCGGGGAGGAGCAACACUAGACUCUUCAACGGUUGGUAUGGGUAAGACCUCUGUGGUUGAAGGUGGAGGAGGAGCUAUAGUAAACUCCUCAAAGAUCGGUAUAAGUAAGACCUCAAAUAUAUCAAGAUGGUCAGAAGAGGUAAAGAAAGGUUUAGACUAAAAAAAUAUGAUGUCAGCUGACAUAAGGUACCUACGAAGAUCAUGUGAGUAACAACGAUAUUCCUUCUAAACAUGAGAAUAACCAAGGAAGACAUACUUUAGAGCAAGAGGAGCUAACUUAUCUUUCCUAGGGGCUAAGUUAUGAACGAAACAUGUGCUCCCAAAAACACGAGGGGAAAAAGAGUAUAAGGGUGACUGGGAAAACAAUACUGAAUACAGAAUCUGAUUCUGGAUAGGAGAUGAAGGCAUCAGAUUAAUCAAAUAACUAGUUGUNNNNNNNNNNNNNNNNNNNNNNNNNNNNNNNNNNNNNNNNNNNNNNNNNNNNNNNNNNNNGUCAUAAACUGCUGAAACCGAGAGGAUAAAUAUUCUAAGGCAUUAUCACUAUGAAAAGUGCGAAUAGAAAUACAAAAUUGAUUUUCGAUUUCAACUUAAAUUCUGGAAUAUAAAAAACAACUCAGAACGAUCUUUCAUUAAGAAAAGCCAAGUACAUCUUGAACAAUCAUCAACGAAACUAACAAAAUAACGAAAUCCCAAGGUUGAACUGACUCUACUAGGACCCCAUAUAUCAGAAUGAACUAAAGAGAAAAUAGACUUUGCAUGACUCUCAGCACUGCGCGGAAAGGAGGCUCGGGUAUGUUUCCCAAGAUGACACGACUCACAAUCUAAUGUAGACAAAGUAGACAAACUAGGCAUCAUCUUCUGAAGCUUGGAUAAACUCGGAUGUCCUAAAUGUUUGUGAAUUAGGUCUGAAGGAUCUGUAACUAGACAUGCUGUGGAGCGAUUGAGUGAGUCAAGGUAGUAAAGGCCUUCUGAUUCACGCCCUGUGCUAAUCGUCUGUCUUGUACUAUGGUCGUGCAUAAUAAAAGAAUCAUCAAUAAAAUAUAUACCACAAUGGAGGGCACGAGUCAAACGAAUAAUAGAUGCAAGAUUAAAAGGACAGUCAGGGACAUAAAAGAACGGAAUCUAGAGUGACAUAAGAUAGGAGAUUAGCUUGUCCAACUCCUUUUGCUUUAGUUUGAAACCCAUUGGCUAAAGUAAUAGUGGGAAGAGACUGUGAAUUCACAAUAUUCGACAAAAGUGAUUUAUUACCAGAGAUAUGAUCAGAAGCGCCUGAGUCCAUGACCCAUGGUCCAAGAGUACUGGACUGGGAAACAUAAACAAAAGAAUUACCAGCAACAGAAGUAUCAGUCUGAGCAGCCGAGGCUACUUGUGGAGCUAAUUGUGGAGAUGAGGAACUCAUUAUAUUCCCCUUUAGAUAAAAAAAAUCCCUGGUUACUUGUAGUCUCGGUCUGAGCAACAUAAGCAUUUUUAGGUGGUCGACCAUGUAAAGAAUAGCACACUUCACGAGUAUAUCCAAGUUUAUUACAAUAAGAACACUUAGGUCUAGAUCUUCCAAAAUGACCUCCUCAUCUAUUCUCUAUUGUUUAGAUGCCCGAUUUUUCACUGUCUGGGAUGUGAGAACAGAGGAGUCAAGUGUCUGUGAUGAGAUCAUUGGGUGACUUGAUGCUGCAGCAAGGCGAAGUAAUUGAGAGAAUAAUUCAUCAACUGUAGGGAUAGUCGGACUAGCCAAAAUCUGGUCACGCACUGAGUCAAGGUCAUUAGGAAGUCUAGCGAGUGUAAGAACUAGAAACAUUUUUUGUCGUUGCUCUUGUUACUGUUCAACACUAGCAGAAACUGGCAUCAACUUCUCAAACUCCUCCAUGACUGCCUGUACUUGUCCCAAGUAAGUCGACAUAUCCAAUUCCUGUUUCUUCAAAUUCGUCAUCAGUGAUAUCACAUCAUAGAAACGAGACAUGUCAUUGGUGUAUAAAGUAAGCCUUUUCCCAAACUAAAUGACAUGCCUGGAAUGGACGAAACAAAGACAUCAAUAGAUCGCCAUAAGAUACUACAUAACUGAGCAUCGAUCUUUUCCCAUUGUGCUUUGGCCUUUUCAUCUCCCUCACUAGCCUUUUUGGUUAAGUGAUCUUGAACACCUUGACCUUUACACCACAACUCCGCAGACGAAUCCUAAGAUAAAUAAUUUGAACUUCCAAGUAGGGGUUUAGAGUAAUCAAGGCUGAAUUUCCAACUCCACUGUUUUUGGAACCAAAAGCAUCUAGUCUGAGAGACAUGAUUGGAUCAAGUAAUUACGAAGUCACAAAAUUGUGUUAGGUCACAAAAAAAAUACACUGUAGCCGCCGGAAACUGAAACAGUCGUCGGAAUCUGCCAAUAGUCGCCGGAAAAUAAAAAAGUUGUCGGAAUGUGAUGAAACUUGAAUGGGUAGAGUCGGAAUUAGUAGACGAAGCAACUGUCCUGAAGGAACUUUUUCAUAAAAUGGCCGGAAGGGGUCGUACUCGUUGGCCGGAACCCUAGCUUCUGCCGGCACGUGAGGGCGCGUGAGGCUGUUUCUGCCGGAGAGGUUGAGUGGGGUUUGGUCGCUGGACGAUGGCGGAUCUUGUGGUAAUGUUGGAUUUUGCACAACACUGACGGAGAGAGAUGACGCAAGACAGUCGUGAAAAGUCGCCGGAAAAUUGAGGCAAUGUGACUUUCUGCUGUAUUCUGGUACCCGGAUGCGUCUCACCACCGCGGCUCUGAUACUAUGUGAGAAAUAAUACACGGGAAAAUAUUCUAUUUUUGAUGUAACCUAACUAUAAUACUAGUACCCUUAUUUAUAACAAUACACAAUACCUACACUACUCCUAUUCCAUGUAGGUUUAUGCUUAUUUACAUAACAACUAACUAACUAACAGUGUUUUUUGCCUCUGCUAGAAUUUGAAUCAUAACCUCAUUCAUGGUUCUCGUCCUACUUCAUUGACCAGUAGGCCACACCCUUGGUUGCUGACAACAUUACUUUUCUGCGGUGUGAUAAUUUCUAGCUUCAGCUUGGGUUUAAGUGGCUGCCUCACCCUUUGAUUGGGAACUAAAACAAAAAGUAAAAAAUUUCUGCUGGGCACAAUAUAACAAACCCUACCAAGAUUGAUGUGCGAGGGAAAAAUUCCGCACAAGUAGGGUCAAAAUAGGCAUAGUAAAGUCUACUAUUUUUAGAAGUUUUCCUUGAUGCCAUUUGGUACAGGGUAAAGUGGGAUUAUGAUGGAUGAUCUCUCUUUACACGGCUUGAAAUCUGACAUAGAUAUUUCUUGCUCUAAAUGCAGCAAAAGUAAUUUAAGGCUGAUGAAUUGUCUAAAUACUGAAAGUUUAAACAAAACGUAAUUCCUGAAGGUUUAUCAGCUUCGUUAUGCUCUAAAAGAUUAAUUUUCUCUAAACCUACAAGUGCAAAACUUAUUGGGAGGUUUAGCGACCUGCCAAUUUAUCUGAAAUUCCAGGGUAAGGGGAGCUCUUUUGCGAGGGGUGAUGGUGGUGGGUUGAAUCCAACAAGUUCUGUAAAAUCUACCUGCGAACUCUAUCCAUCUGGUUGUAUGUGAUUGGUAAUGGUGGGUCGUCCAAGCCUAGUCAACUAUUGGUUGAGAUAUAACUCAUCUGCCCAAGUCUAUAUCGGUUGCGUUGAGGCAAGAAAAAUAAAAAGCAAAUAGUACGUUCAUCUGUGAAAGAGGGGAGAGAGAAGAGAGUCAGAGACAGAGAAAGAGACAGUUAGGAAGCUGUUAAUGUCUGACGUGGUGAACCUGUGUUUCUUGAAGGGAUCUUCUGUGUUUAUCUGAACAAGUUUGACAAUGAAUUUGAGUUAGUUUGUUUGCUGAUGGCUAUUUUUAAAUGUGGUUUCUAUAUGAGCUAGAUAUGUCAAGACAAGGGUUUAUACAAUACCUAUCUGCUGUUUAAAUGACCCUCCUACUUUAGGUCCUCAAUGCUGAAAGGUUGUAAGUUCUUUGAUACACUACAUUUACAUUGAUUAAUUCAUAUGAACACCACUUGACAAGGAUGGAUAAUUCCAACUUUGGGUGACCAGGAUCUACACUUUAGAGACCUUUAUUGCAUAAAUGGUCCGUGGUCUGGGAAUUCCAUAUCUUCAGUCCGAGCAAAGUAUAAUCCAUUCUCAUUUUGAGUUAUGGCAGAACUUUUUCUGGUUGGCCAAGGUAUCAUUGAUUUUCCAGCUUUGUCAGGCAGCAUCUACACUUCUGAGUCCUUUAUUUCAUAGAUCGUCCCUGGUUUGACAAUUCUGUUUCUUCAGUCUUGUCAAAGUUCAAUUCAUUCUCAUUUUGAGUUAAAACAAUUUUUAUUAUUCUGCUAGUCUAAAAUAUGGUCGACUGUGAAUUAUAUUAAGUAAUAGGAUUUAUGGGGAGGGAUACUGCAAAUAUUUAUUUACUUGCGAUUUAUUGGUAUUACUUCCCAAAUGGCUAGACUUCAUUUCUUCUUAGUUGAUCGGUACAAAGUGAGGCUCUACUUGUCAAGCACAUUGGUUUCAUUAUGAGAUCAGCAACCAGAUCUUUUACACUUCUAUGUACCAAGUGAAGGAUUUGAACAACUUACUCAGCCGUAGGAGAUUGAUCAACUAACACAUUCCAUUGACUUGUUGGGACCGAGGUGAGUGUUAGCUGUGCUCAAGGUUCUGUAACACUUGCACCACCUUCCUAGUCAAUUUGCAUACUUCCAAGUUCUUUCAUUGCAUAAUUGCAGCAAAUCCAUGGGUACCUGUCUUUUAUGCUGUAACUGCAAUAUGUGAUUGAAAUAAAGGGAAAACUUUCCUCCCUUGUUUCAUUUUUAUGUGGAUAAGAGUUUGAACAAAAAGUUCAAUGCUUCCAAAGAUCAGUGGCUAAAAUGAACCUAAUUUAAGCUGUUGGUGUUUAUUUGCAGUCAUUGGUUCCUCUUGGCAGCGUGGAAGAGCUAUUGGCAGCAUAUGAUUCACAGCGUAGGGAGCUACCACCUCCUGUAACAGUCUGGGAAUGGGGUUGGACAAAAAGUGCAGAAACGUGGAACGGAAGAGCAGCUAUGUUGGCAGUUCUUGUGCUGCUGGUGCUAGAAGUAACAACUGGAGAAGGCUUCCUGCACCAGUGGGGUAUAUUGCCCUUAUUCCGCUAGCCACGUAGAUCCUACUCUCCACUUUCCUCUUUGAAAAGAAAAUCUCUUCCCUCCCACCCCUGCUGUCUCUUACACAUGCAUAUACACAUACACAUACACUUAACGGUGGGUGCCUGUUGAGAUGUUGAAAACGACACAAAUUGGGAACAAAUUAAGAAAGUUCUAGAAUGUUAGUCAUUUAGAAUGAGCAUCCACUCUUCUGUUACUAUGUAUUUCUUCUUAGUCUUUGCAGCAAAAAAGCCUUCACUUCAUUCUCUUGAGGCCAGUGAGCAGGUACGUUGGAAUGAAGCAGGGUCCUGAUAGACAGAAAAGGGCGGGAAAGAUCAAGGAUUGUUCGACAAUAAAGAGAAGGAAAAAAAAGGUGCAAAUUCAUCUUCCAAGGUUUACCAUCCUUUUACAACUUUCAGCAUCUACAGACAACCUGUAAAAUUUCCUCUUGCACUCCAACUUUCUGUCAUAUGAAUCCCGAAUCCAUGUUGUAACUAUUCUGUGUAUCUGAGUGUUUGUAUACAAUGUUGAAAUUAAAUCCCCAAGAAGCAAGAACAAUACAGUGGCAGAUGUCUACAUUUAAUAUUUCUGCCUAGUAUGUGCAUCAUCUAGAUGCUGAAAGUGUGAAGCAACUGGAAAAUAGCUUGCAAUGUUGUGAAUUUUGCUAUGAAAGACUUUGAUGCUGUAUAGUAUUGAAUCUAAGUAAUGUUCAUAGUUACGCUGCUUUUU